AUUGUACUCCCUCCGUCCCAAAAUUCUUUUCUUAGAUUGGUGUAGAUAUGGAUGUAUCUAACACUAAAAUGUAACUAGAUACAUCCGUAUUUAGACAAAUCUAAGACAAGAAUUUUGGGACGGAGGGAGUACUAU
rfam:Triticum aestivum genome assembly, contig: Triticum_aestivum_CS42_TGACv1_scaffold_404876_5BL